CCCCUCUCUUGUUGUGCUGGGAGGACACAGGCUGCUGCAGGUCAGUGUGAGUAAAAUACACAUUAUAUCAGAUAGAGAGCUCCCCCUGGGCUCCAGCAAUAAUCUCUGCAUGUUCCCAUUGAUCCUGGAAUUAGGGAUUCCUGCUCUCUGUGUGUGCAGACACUGGGGGGAAGGGAUUGGGCUCCAGCAAUAAUCUCUGCAUGUUCCCAUUGAUCCUGGAAUUAGGGAUUCCUGCUCUGUGUGUGCAGACACUGGGGAGGAAGGGAUUGGGCUCCAGCAAUAAUCUCUGCAUGUUCCCAUUGAUCCUGGAAUUAGGGAUUCCUGCUCUCUGUGUGUGCAGACACUGGAAGGUUGGG